CACACUGGCCAUAGCUUUAUCAGAUCAAGUGGUUCCAACGUUGUUUGAGCGGUGAAUUUUACGCCGAUCAGAUGGAGAAAUAUGGCCGAUACAACAAAUUUCCGGUCUUUUUGAAGUCAUGGAUUCUUACGUUUGCCCAGAAUGCGGGAAGUCAUAUAAGCAUCAGAAAACUCUAAACAGACACACAGCUUCACAUAAUGGGGACAGACCUCAUGAAUGUGCCAUAUGUGGCAAAGGGUUCUUAAGAAAAGACGUGUAUACAAAUCAUUUAAAGAGUCAUGACACGGCAAACCCUUCCUUUAUAUGCCAUACUUGUGGUAAAUGCUUCACGAGAAAAUCCACUCUUUAUCAACAUUCAAUAAUUCACGAUCCUGCAAAAAGGUACAAGUGUAGUAAAUGUGACAAAUCCUACCUCACGUCGUCAGCUCUGAGGAAACAUUCUCUAGUUCAUGAGGAGAAGAAGAAGUGCGAUAGAUGUGCCAAGCACUUUAUACAUCUAGACGAACACAUCAAGUCAUGCAGUCAAAACAUGUGUUGUGAAUGUGAUGUUUGUGGCAAAAAAUUUAAACAGAAAAGAUAUUUAAAUGAACACAUGCGGUGUGUGCACAGACAACUUGAACUCUAUGAGUGCAAAAAAUGUGGAAAUAAAUACAACCACAGAGCGUCUCUUCAUUACCAUAAGAAAAAUUGUUCAUGAGCCAGUGACUAGAUACGUUUCCAAUCUUUGUUUUAUUUUUGAAUAUCGUUUAAAACUAACUACCAAUUCUUUGACCAAUUUUACGAAGCUAUGGUGUACAUGAUUUAAAAAAAACUAUCUUUGCAUAACAAGUUACGGUAAUUUAAAGUGUCAUACAUCAAUAGUGUGGGUAUAGUACGAAUAAAUGCAAGUACCUGGUGCUUUUUAAAUGCUAAUAACGAAAUACAGGCCUUAGCUUUUAAUGUCUUUUUUUACACUUAGUGACUUAUACGAUCAUAUUUCUAUAUAACAUCUCUCUUGUAUUUCUUAUAAAAACAAUGUGACCGGCAUGUCAUUUCUUAAAAAUUUCAACCUAUUUAAUUGACCGUACAGACACAAUUUUUGAAAGAGAGUGCAAGAGUUGGCAAGUGCUAUUAUUAUAUAUUAGCAAACACACAGUACCGAUAAGGUCAUUAUUCCCCACCUCUGUGUCAUGUUGAAAAGUUGUCGUGCAGUGAAUUGAGGGAACAAGUAAGUACUGGUAGAAUAUCCAGGGACAAUCAUUUGGUAUUACCGGCACAAGUGAUUCAUCUGUCGGCUAAAUCAAUCAAGCUGCAAGUGUGUUUAAAUGUUUUACAUUUAAUUCUUACGUUUUAACAUACCAUGUUUUGUAUGUACAUGUAUCCGUUAAUCAGUAGAAGUAGGAGCAGGUAGCUCUUCCAAAAUCUUCUUUGUGACUUAUAUCGCAUGUUUUUAUGUUUAUCUCAUUACAUUUUUUGUAAAUGUAUACUCGAGUCUGAGUACUUAAUCCUUUAUACGCCCGUUUUUUAGGUAUUUUUCCGACCAGUUUGAAAGAAAUUCGACUCGUGUGUUAUAUUACAAUUACCAAUCAAGUUGCACUUUACAUAGAAAUGUUAAGUGUUUGCAGAUUUUUUCUUUCAUUUUUGUAUAAUCAUUUGUAUCAUCUCGCUGGUACAUAUGUUAAUAACAUGUAUCGUGCAUAUUUCUUAUUAAUUUCAAAUAAGAUUUCUCUCUUUGUAAACUUGUAUAUGUAUCAGAUGUUCGUUUCUCAGAGAAAACACAGUCAAAAUCGGUUGACAUUUUCAGAGUAAACACAGUCAAAAUCGGUUGACAUUUUACUCAUUGUAGUGCAUCAUCUACUUUAAAGAAACACUCCAUGUUGUGAUAUACUUUCAGAAUUAUGCCAUCAAAACACUGCAAAGAAUAAGGCAUUUCUCUUUUGAAACAAUAAAAGGUUUUCUUAA